rnacentral:rRNA from 1 species
AUGAGCAUGGACCUCUACGGAGAUGUUUUUGGUAUCCUACAGCUGGAUGAACCUACUUAUGAUGAGGAAUCUGUUGACCGCAGCAAGCAUUGGGGAGACUUGGAGGAGGAAGAGGAAGAGGAGGAAGAGGAAGAGGAACUAAUGGAAGAUGAAGACAUGGAAGCUGGCAUGCAGUCUGUCUACACCAUGUCAAGGUUCUUGAGCAGAAGGAGGAGAAAAUCUCACCUUGAACCCUCUAUGGGUCAAGCCAUACGUAUGUGGUUGGGGCACAGGAUAAAGCUGGGGUUAAAAGGGUUGAUCUUCUCAAGAAUCAAAAGUCUGAAAAAGUGGAUGUCACCAUACAUCCUGAGGAGCUCGAAGUUAUGGACGAUGUUCUGGCAGCCAAGUACGAAGAAGCCCGGGAGGAGGAGAAGCUACGGAACCAGAAGGAAGACUUCAGCGACAUGGUGGCGGAGAACGCGAGCAAGAGGAAGAGGAAGCGCAAGAAGGACGUGA